rnacentral:rRNA from 1 species
GAUGAACGCCGGCGGCGUGCCUAAUACAUGCAAGUCGAGCGAAUGGAUUAAGAGCUUGCUCUUAUGAAGUUAGCGGCGGACGGGUGAGUAACACGUGGGUAACCUGCCCAUAAGACUGGGAUAACUCCGGGAAACCGGGGCUAAUACCGGAUAACAUUUUGAACCGCAUGGUUCGAAAUUGAAAGGCGGCUUCGGCUGUCACUUAUGGAUGGCCCCGCGUCGCAUUAGCUAGUUGGUGAGGUAACGGCUCACCAAGGCAACGAUGCGUAGCCGACCUGAGAGGGUGAUCGGCCACACUGGGACUGAGACACGGCCCAGACUCCUACGGGAGGCAGCAGUAGGGAAUCUUCCGCAAUGGACGAAAGUCUGACGGAGCAACGCCGCGUGAGCGAUGAAGGCUUUCGGGUCGUAAAACUCUGUUGUUAGGGAAGAACAAGUGCUAGUUGAAUAAGCUGGCACCUUGACGGUACCUAACCAGAAAGCCACGGCUAACUACGUGCCAGCCGCCGCAGUAA